rnacentral:rRNA from 1 species
GAGAGUGGGUUAGUCCGCACGAGCGCACCUUACUUUUAGUUGCCAUCAUUUAGUUGGGCACUCUGUAAAGAACUGCCAGUGAUAAGCUGGAGGAAGGUGGGGAUGACGUCAAGUCCUCAUGGCCCUUAUGUGUUGGGCUACACACGUGCUACAAUGGCAUUUACAAUAGGAAGCAAGAUGGCGACAUUAAGCAAAUCCUAAAAAAAUGCCUCAGUUCGGAUUGUACUCUGCAACUCGAGUACAUGAAGCUGGAAUUACUAGUAAUCGCGGAUCAGCGCGCCGCGGUGAAUACGUUCCCGGGUCUUGUACACACCGCCCGUCACACCAUGGGAGUUGGUUCUACCUUAAGGCAAGGUUUAAUACCCUUGACCACGGUAUAGUCAGCGACUGGGGUGAAGUCGUAACAAGGUAGCCGUAGGGGAACCUGCGGCUGGAUUACCUCCUUUCU